AGCAGCCACGGUAAUUCCAGCUCCAAUAGCGUAUAUUAAAGUUGUUGCAGUUAAAAAGCUCGUAGUUGAAUUUCGGGGUUCCACCGUUGGUCGGGCUAUUGUCUGUACUGGCGUGUGGAAUUUCUACCUUCUGGGGAACUAUCAUGUUAUUAAUUUAGCGUGGUAGGAAACCAGGACCUUUACCUUGAAAAAAUUAGAGUGUUCAAAGCAGGCUUAUGUCUGAAUACAUUAGCAUGGAAUAAUAAAAUAGGACGGUGGUCCUGUUUUGUUGGUUUCUGAAUCACCGUAAUGAUUAAUAGGGAUAGUUGGGGGCAUUAGUAUUCAAUUGUCAGAGGUGAAAUUCUUGGAUUUAUUGAAGACUAACUACUGCGAAAGCAUUUGCCAAGGAUGUUUUCAUCAAUCAAGUAACGAAAGUUAGGGGAUCGAAGACGAUCAGAUACCGUCGUAGUCUUAACCAUAAACUAUGCCGACUAGGGAUCGGACGAUGUUAACUUUUCUGACUCGUUCGGCGCCUUACAGGGUAAACCAAGUUCGUUGGGUUACG
rnacentral:rRNA from 1 species